AUAAUUGAGUGGAGGUGACAAUUACUUUAUUAAGGAUUAAGAAAGUAAGAAAAGUUUGAAAAUAACCUACAAUUUUUUUAAUUUACACUUUGAUUCAAUGCAAAACCUAAUAUAACUAGAAAUUGAGGGGAAAAAAGCACUUUUCUCUCUCUUCUCAUUUAUUGGAGUUUUCUCUCUCUUCGUGAGUUUUGUCGUUCAUUAUUGUUGCUUUAUUCAUCAUCUUUUUCUUCAUUAUCAUCAUCUUGUUCUUCAUUAUCAUCUCUUCUUGUUCAUCAUCAUCAUCUACUUGUUGUUGAACAUUGUUGUUACCACUACUAUUGCUACAUGAUCAAAUUUUUUUAGGUCAAAUUUUAUUCGUAUAUCACUUGGAAUUACUUAUAGGUGAUUUUAAUAAGUAAAAUUAUAAUUUUUAGUUGAAUUUCUCAUCUGGGUGUAUCUGCUACUGUUGUUUUUUCAUCAAUAGAUAAAACAUGUAACGUGAAUCUAACAUAUGAGUAAUCUAUUGCACAAAUGAGUAAUCUGUUGCAACAUAUAUGAGUAAUCUGUUGCACAGAUGAGUAAUCUGUUGCAACAUAUAUGACUAAUCUGUUGCACAGAUGAUAAUUCGUUGCAACAUAUUGACUAAUUUGUUGCCACAUAUUGACUAAUCUGUUGCAACAGAUGAGUAAUCUGUUACAACAUAUAUGACUAAUUUGUUGCAACAGAUUACUCAUCUGUUGAAUUCAUAUUAUAGUGUUGUAACAUGAAUCCAAUAUAUGGGUCAUCUGUUGCAACAGAUUAGUCAUAUGUUGCAACAGAUUACUCACUUGUUGCAACAAAUGACUCAUAUGUUGAAUUCAUGUUGCAAGUUCUAUCCAUUGUAGCAGUAGCAGAUAUACCAAAUAAAAAAUUCAACAAAAAUCAUAAUUAUACUUACAAAAUCACCUAUGAAGUAAUGUCCAAGUGAUAUACAAACAAAAUUUGACCAAAAAAAAUUUCAAAAAUUUCAACAAGGGCACAACGAAUAAGUGAAACGCAUGAAAAUUUUUAUGAAACAGGUAAAGAAGACAAAAAUAGUGUAUCAUACAUUAAAUGGAAAAGGAUCAAGGGAACAAACGUUUGAGUUCUCCUAAAAACAUUUAAGUUCCCCAGUAUUUUAAUUGCUUUCUAAUGGAUAACCCAUCUAUUAUAACAUAUUUUCUAUCUAUUUGAUAAUUUUCAAUAGAUGAAUUAGUUGUUGCAACAAGUGAGUCAUUUGUUGCAACAGAUGUUUAUAUCUGUUUGGUUAUUUUCAACAAAUAUUUUUAUUUGUUUGGUCAUUUCCAACAGAGUACUCAUCUAUUGUAACAUGUUAGUCAUCUAUUGAUUCACAUUAAGUCAUUAUUAGUAAUAACUAAAUUAAUUACUAAAAUAAAAUAUGAAUUAAUAAGUUCAAUUGUAGUUUCAAUUAAUCUCAUGGUAAUUACACGAUCAACUCAGUAUGUUCGUCCUGAGUGGAGUGAUCAAUUGAUCAGUUUUCUUUGAAAUAAUUCAACCUAAGUCAUCAUUAGAUUAGAAAUAACUAUGUUUAUUUAACUCAAAUUAAAGAUGAAUUAGUAAGUUCAAUUACGAUUUCAAUUAAUCUCAUAGUAAUUGCAUGAUCAAUUAAGUGUUUCGUACUGAGUAGAAUGAUUAAUUGACCAAUUUUAUGUGAAAUAAUUCAAAUUUAACCAUUAUUAGAAAUAAUUAAUCUCGGUAAUUACAUGAUCAAUUAAGUGUUUCAUCCUUAGUAGAAUAUUUAAUUGAUCAAUUUUAUUUUAAAUGAUUCAAAUUAAGCCAUUAUUAGUAAUAACUAUGCUUAUUUAACUAAAAUUAAAUAUGAAUUAAUGAGUUCACUUACAAUUUCAAUUAAUCUCAUCGUAAUUACAUGAUUAUCUAAGUCUAUUCAUUCCGAGUAGAGUGAUCAAUCGACUAAUUUUAUUUGAAAUAAUUCAAAUUAAGUCAUUAUUAGUAAUAACUAAAUUGAUUUAACUAAAAUUAAAGAUAAACUUGCUAUUUCAAUUAAUCUCAUAGUAAUUAAAUGAUCAACUAAAUGUAUUCGUCAUGAGUAGAGUGAUCAAUUGACAAAUUUUAUUUGAAAUGGAUCAAAUUAAGCCAUUAUUCGUAAUAACUAAAUUGAUAUAACUAAAUUAAAGAUGAAUUAAUAAGUUCACUUACAAUUUCAAUUAAUCUAAUAGUAAUUACAUGAUCAACUAUGUGUAUUCAUCUCGAGGAGAGUUAUCAAUCGACCAAUUUUAUUUGAAAUGAUUCAAAUUAAGUCAUUAUUAGUAAUAACUAAAUUGAUUUUGACUAAAUUAAAGAUGAAUUGAUAAGUCCACUUACAAUUUCAAUUAAUGUAUUCCUUAAUAGAAUGAUCAAUUGAUAAAUUUUAUUUAAAAUGAUUCAAAUUAAGCAAUUAUUAGUAAUAACUAAAUUGAUUUAACUAAAAUUAAAGACAAGACCUCAGACAAGGGGACAAAUAUUUGAGUUCUCUUAAAAACAUAUGAGCUUUAGUAUUUUAAAUUAUUUUCAAUAUAUGUCCAAUAUGUUUGAUAAUUUUCAACAAAUGAGUCAUCUGAUGCAACAACUUAGUUCUCUGUUGCAACAGAUGUCUAUAUUUUUUAUUAAUUUUCAAUAGAUGAGUCAUUUAUUGCAAUAGGUUAGUCAUCUGUUGCAACAUAUGUCUAUAUUUGUUUGGUUAUUUCCAACAGAUGUCUUUAUCUGUUUGGUUAUUUCCAACAGAUGUCUUUAGUUGUUUAGUCAUUUUUAACAGAUUACUCAUCUUUUGCAACAUGUUAGUCAUCUAUUGAUUCAUAAUAAGCCAUUAUAUUAGUAAUAAAUAAAUUUAUUUAAAUAGAAUUAAACAUGAAUUAAUAAGUUCAAUUACAGUUUCAAUUAAUCUCAUGGUUAUUACACUAUCAACUAAGUGUGUUCAUCCUUAGUAGAGUGAUCAAUUGAUUAAUUUUAUUUGGAAUGAUUAAAACCAAACCAUAAUUAGAAAUAACUAUAUUGAUUUAACUAAAAUUAAAGAUGAAUUAAUAAGUUGACUUACAAUUUCAAUUAAUUUUAUAGUAAUUACAUGAUCAACUAAGUGUUUCGUCUUAAGUAGAAUGAUCAAUUGACCAAAGGCUACACUUCCGCAAGUUGAAUUGCUUGAGGCUUGAAUUAUUACUGUGAUUAAUAAAGCAAUGAGAUAUGUAAAUCUAAACCUCCCCUUUCCGUUAAGGCACCACCCCACGUCAUGUGCUCCUUCUUGUUAACGUUGAUAUAACCGAGAGUAGAAUCUUUAUAUUGCCUUACAUAUCCUUCCCUCGUUGUACUAUCAAGCUUAUAGGUACUUAUCUUUCCCUCUUUGUGUUAUGUUUUCAUGAAACUUCCAUAUUAUUAUAAGUUCCUCUACUUGAAGCCUUUAGGAAACAAUAUAUAUAUAUAUAUAUAUAUAUAUAUAUAUCACACGUUAGGAGUAAAAGUAAAUAGUAAUAGCAUAGUUGUACUUGUAUAUAUUAGGUAGACAACCAUUAUCUUAAUUCACAUGUUAUAGGCCUUCAAGGCAUUAAUUGAUAAGCAUUGCGAUGGGAGGGUACAUAGGUUUGGCUUGGCAUACUGCUCGACGUGAUUCUGUGCACAAGAUCGAGACCAUACCAUUAUAGUGAGCCCAUAUACUGGGGCGUACCCAUUUUUGUGGAAUCAUUUGUAUUUGGAGUCAGCUGGAAUGUCAUGUACUAGUUUCCCCUGACUCGAGCCAAUAUAUGGCAUAUAUGGCCUGCGGGCAGGCCCUCAUAGUGAGCCCCUGGGUGGAGCAUACCUAGUUACAGACUGUGAUUACAAUUAUACAUAUGGGAUCAUAGCAAUAAUUAUUUGAGUAGCAUAUGCUUUAUACUUGCCUCAGAUUGCCUUAGGUAGGCCAUUUUGUGAUUAUUUGUAUUACUUAUAGGAUGCUUACAUCACCUAGAUAAAUUAUAGUCGCUAUAUUAUUAUGAACACCUUUCUAAACAUUACACAAAAAUUCCUGUAAGAUUGGUGCAUAGGUUACCAGUUCAUAUCUUAUAUGUGUUAUUAUUGGCUCUUAAUUUUCACUUUAAUGUUUGACUCGUAUGAGAUUUUGUACUUGUUCAACUGUUAUUCUGUCUACUUUCAUACUAGUACAUGUUAUUUUAUGUACUGACAUUCUAGGGGCACUAUAUUUUAUUGAUGCAGGCUUAGGCCCUCAGGAUAGAAGACGUCCACAUUAGGCCCUGUUGUCGUUUUCAGCUGGUAUUUUGGUGAGCUCCUUCUCUUUUUGGAGCUGGCCUAUGUAUAGUAUUUUUUAUUACAUGUACGGGUUCUUAGUUGCGCAUGAAGGGCCCUAUACUGACUAGUCACUUGUAUUAUAGCGUGUUAAACUGACUCGAGGCUUCAUGGACAUCGUGUAAGAUUGUAUUGUAUAGUUUUGUUAAUGUAACUCCCUCGUGUAUAUAUGCAACUCUUAUUGAAUAUUUUGCCCGUUAUUAUCUCAUAACCUUGUGUAUGUCUUAAAGUGAUUGUAGAUUAAGUGUAUAUGGUUCUUGUCCAUCAUUAUCGUCUUGGGGCAUGACAACAACGAAUGAAGAAAUCUAAAAUCAUUAAGGAUUAUUCUAACAGGUUGCUUGUGAUUUCAAAUAAGGUAAGAAUACUUAGAACUGAAUUUAAUGACAAUAGAAUAGUUCAAAAGAUGCUUGUAACCUUACCUGAGAGAAAUAACGUAACUAUUGCUUCAUUGGACAAUACUAAAGAUCUAUCAAAGCUUAGCUUGGCAGAGUUAUUCAGUGCUCUGUAGGCACAAGAACAAUGAAGGAUGAUGAGGCAAGAGGGAUCCAUCGAGGUAGCC
rnacentral:lncRNA from 1 species